rnacentral:rRNA from 1 species
CCCGAAACCAGGUGAUCUACCCUUGGUCAGGUUGAAGUUCAGGUAACACUGAAUGGAGGACCGAACCGACUUACGUUGAAAAGUGAGCGGAUGAACUGAGGGUAGCGGAGAAAUUCCAAUCGAACCUGGAGAUAGCUGGUUCUCUCCGAAAUAGCUUUAGGGCUAGCCUCAAGUGAUGAUUAUUGGAGGUAGAGCACUGUUUGGACGAGGGGCCCCUCUCGGGUUACCGAAUUCAGACAAACUCCGAAUGCCAAUUAAUUU